GACGAACGCUGGCGGCGUGCUUAACACAUGCAAGUCGAACGGAAAGGCCCUGCUGGCAGGGUACUCGAGUGGCGAACGGGUGAGUAACACGUGGGUGAUCUGCCCUGCACUUAGGGAUAAGCCUGGGGAACUGGGUCUAAUACCGGAUAUGACCUUUCCUGUAGAGUGGGGGGGGGACAGAUUUAUCGGUGUGGGAUGAGCCCGCGGCCUGUCAGCUUGUUGGUGUGGUAAUGGCCUACCACGGGGUAGACGGGCAGCCGGCCUGAGAGGGUGGGCUGACACAUUGGGACGGGGAUGAGGCCCAGACCCCUACGGGAGGCAGAGGUGGGGAAGAGUGCACAAUGGGCGGAAGCCUGAUGCAACGACGCCGCGUGGGGGAUGAGGGCCUUCGGGUUGUAAACCUCUUUCGUCAGGGAAGAAGCGUAGGUGACGGUACCUGUAUAAGAAGCACCGGCUAACUACGUG
rnacentral:rRNA from 1 species